CACGCUUCCACCCACUCACACGCGACCGCACACAAUGUUGUGACCAAGGUUCGAUUCCCAGGGCCGCUGCACUGGAGCCCCCCUUUUUUCCCCUUCCGAGACGAGAGAAGGGAUACAGGAGUCGGGCGAGAUCAGAAGACCGUGCCUGCGGCUCCAUAGCACCUACACGGUUUAGGCGAAACGCACAGCAGCUCCAAGCAUCGGCUACCUCCGCUCUCUUCUCUUCCUGUCGAUCUCUGUCCUCCAACUUCUCGUGCAUGUCGUGCUAUCGUCACUGACGGGCGAGGGCAUGGCGGGGGGCGCGACGCCGGCCGGAGCCGCUGCCUGGUGACGCGUGGCCGCAGCGGGGCGCACCGUCUUGGGGCGUGUGGAGGCCAUGACGAACGGGGCACGAUGCCUGCCAGGGCCGCUGGGGUUCCGGAUCUGGCAGGCUAAGCAGCGGCUCACUCCCGAGUUCUGUUAGUCCCCCUCUACCUUGUUCAUACAUCCAUCUCGGGGCUAGGGCAGCGUUAGCCAUGCUGCCGUAGAACGGCUGAUGGUCAUGGGCAACGGCAAACUACGAGCGUCAGUGACCUAGGUGCCCGGCCGUUCUGGCUCUUGUCCCAGUGGACGGUGCUCUUCAAAGCUUUGCUCCCUCUCCCUGCCAGCAGCCCAACACCGGGCACUGAUGAGGCAUUGGACGAUGGAGCAUGGUCAGAGAGAGAUACAUGCAUGGGAAGAUAAACAGAGAAAAAAUGAAGCCACUUGAGGAAGCCACGCGGGUGGAUAGGGAUGAAGUUGGAGCCAAUAUUGCUUUUUCACGUGGACCCCAUCGUCCAAUUCUAUAGGAGCCAUCAAGGAUACUAUUGUGUGGUAUAUAGACAUCCUGAUUUAUUCUAGAUUUUUUUCGCUGGCCAAAGUUAGGGAGCGAGGAUAUAUGUUUGAGUGCACACAAGAUUAUAGAAAAAUUAUUAGAGGGCAAUAUUGUGUGGUAUAUAGACAUAAAAAAAGAAAAAAAACCGACUCAGCCCAUCUCCGUCUCCAGUGCCGAUGCAGCCAGGGACGCAGGCUGCACGCCGACGCCGUGAUAAACGCAGUAAGUAUACUUGCUUCCCGAUUAUAUUGCUGACCAUCUGCACAUGGAGAAGCUCGAUGUCGCCAAGGUGGUAGGACAGUGGGAGACCACGGCCGUCGCCGCUGCUAGGUUCUCCGGCGAGCUGGAUCCCGAGUUCAGAACUCAAGUCACCAUGGAAAUAGAAGGGGAGGAAGGAAAUGUUAAUGUUGUCAAUUCUAAAGAUCCUUUGCUCAAAUUUGUGGCGGACAACGAUUGCAUUUCCAGAGCUGAUCUCACCCAACAAAAGGAUCAAGUGGCUAUGCAUAUAGAAUAACAAGAAGUGAAGACCGUUGAUGGCAAUGUUGGAGAAGAAAUGAGUUGCAGCCAUCAUCCCAGUCACAACAAACGAAAGAAAAUAAAUCACACAUGCCUCAAGUUGAUCCUGCGGGAGUUGUGGCAGGCACCAGAUCAGUUCAAGUGGCGGCCAAAGCUGAAGUCACACUAGAAAAUGAAGUUGCCAUGGACAAAGUAUAUGAAGUGAAGGUCAGUGUUGGCAACGCUGGAGAAGAAAAUGAGAUGGAGGCACACAUACCUCAAGUUCAGCUCGAAGUUGUGGCAGCCAAAGCAGAUGUCACCCAACAAAAGGGAAUACUUUGUGUUCUAUAUUACAAAACUACUGUUAGUGUAAAGAAAUAAAACUAAUGUUUCAGUAAAUUCCUUACAGAUCAAGGUGCAAUGGAACAAUAAGUGACAGCCAGUGUUGGCAAAGUUGGAGAAGAAAUUAAGUUGGAGGGAGUUGUGGUGGGCAGCGACUGUACUUCCAGUUCAAUUCAAGUGCCGAAUCAAGUUGCCAUUGAUAUAGAAGAAGAGGAACUGAAGGUCGUUGGCACUGUUAGAGAAGAAUGUGAGUUGCAGUCAUCUGCGUCACCACGUAAGAAACAAAAGAAAUCACACAUAUAAAAGAUUGUUCGUCCACCCGGCGAGCAUAUAUAAUAUAUAUUCUCUAUGUUUAAUUUGUAAAGUGGGUAGCAAAUUAAUAAGUUAACUUACUAUCUAUCAUUCACACAAUAGACAUUCAUUAAGGACGGAAUUUUUGGUGGACAUGUUGCAGAGUCUUGAAAAUGAACAUGCAAGCCCGUUCGCUUGUCUUAUUAGCCGUAUUUUUUCUG